AAUCUCAAAUGCAGAAGUGUAAUACAAAUUUUGAUUAACAUCCCUUACACAAUAACCAAAACAUACUCAAAACAUGAAGGAACAAACUAACUAAAAGAGAUACUCGAAAUAAGAACUAUAAAUAUAACUAUGAAGUCUUUAGGUGUCCCCUUCGCCGUCUUCCUGCGGAACGGGCUCGGGAACAACGUCUUUCUGAUCUGAAAUAGUUAAAUAAGGAAUGAGCUACACCAGCCCAGUAAAGACAUCACACUAUCUCACCGUCACGGA
rnacentral:lncRNA from 1 species